UUUCUUUCAGGUGAAUCAUCUUCAUUAUUACACCUCUAUGUUGUGUUGCAGCCUGCAGCUCACUGCUGAUCUUAUUCAGGUGGUCUCAUCUCUGCACGCUGCCUAAUUAAGGUGGAUGUGACCAUGGAGGAGCCAGAAUGGAGGAGGAGCUUUGAUACCAGUAUAGAUUUCCUCCAUCCUGGCUCCCUUCCUGUGAAGAUGUUGGAGGAAGAUCAGUUAGAGCGGGAAGAAUGUGGGAAAAAUCAGCUGGAUGCGUGGAAGCUGUUCCUGCUGUACAUACAUACGCAGACGCCACAUUAAGCGGGGCGGCCCGUUGCUGUGACACAUCAGCACAUCCGCCAUAUUGGAUGUGGCAGAUCUGCGCUGUAAACUAAUCCAAGUAAAUGGACUGAACUUCAUG